GUGCCCGAAACCUUGACUCAACCUGGGUAUAUUAAACAGGUGAGCAAAGUUUCAGGUGUGU
rnacentral:pre_miRNA from 1 species